rnacentral:tRNA from 1 species
UAUUUUACAAUUCAAUCUUAAGAAAAUUAAACUGCAAAUUUAAAAAUGACUUACUCUAAGAUUU